rnacentral:rRNA from 1 species
UACGUAGGGUGCAAGCGUUAAUCGGAAUUACUGGGCGUAAAGCGUGCGCAGGCGGUUUUGUAAGUCUGUCGUGAAAUCCCCGGGCUCAACCUGGGAAUUGCGAUGGAGACUGCAAGGCUAGAGUUUGGCAGAGGGGGGGUAGAAUUCCACGUGUAGCAGUGAAAUGCGUAGAUAUGUGGAGGAACACCGAUGGCGAAGGCAGCCCCCUGGGUCAAGACUGACGCUCAUGCACGAAAGCGUGGGGAGCAAACAGG